UUUUACUUUUUCAUAACACUUUUUUGCAAAACAUGUCAAAAUUUAUGUUUUUGAAUUUUCCUAACUAAUAGAUGUAGUAACAUAAAUACAUCUCGAAGGAUUUUAAUUUUUGAAGUUUUUAUCAUUUUCAUUUCUUUUUUUCAAAACUAAAAUGGCGAUAGGGGGGGGCAGCAUAAUGGACGAAGGCGGGGGUAACAUGUUGGAUGCGAUCAUACCAGCACUAAAGCACCGGAUCCCAUCAGAACUCUUCGACAUCGUAUGCAAAAGUUAUAGCCG
rnacentral:rRNA from 2 species